CUGAACACAUAGCAAGUCUAGACGCGAAAGUUACUUACGCGAAACUGAGAUAGCAGCAGGCUGUGACUGUGGCUGAGUAACCCCUUUUAAAUUGCCCAGAUAGUGAUUCCACAUCAUUCGUGAUAACUGAGCAUGCUAAUACCGCGAUACUCCCUACGGGUGAAAGCAUGAGAUCUUCGGACCUUGAGCUAUUGUAUAUACCCGCGUACGGAUUACUUAAUUGCCAGAGGUAAUGGCUCACCACAGCGAACGCAUCCGUAUCUGGUCUGAGUAGGAUGAUCAAGCCACACUGGGAGCUGAGUACACGUGGCCAGACUCCUACGGUCAGGCAGCAGUGGGGAAUAUUGCACAAUGGGCGCAAGCCUGAUCCACACAUGCCGCGUGUGUGAAGAAGGCUCUAGGGUUGUAAAGCACUUUCAGUAGGGAGGAAGGCCUUAAAGUUAAUACCUCUGAGGAUUGACGUUACCUACAGAAGAAGCACCGGCUAACUCCGUGCCAGCAGCCGCGGUAAUACGGAGGGUGCGAGCGUUAAUCGGAAUUCUCUGGGCGUAAAGCGCGCGUAGGCGGUUAGUUAAACUGGAUGUGAAAGCCCCGGGCUCAACCUGGGAACUGCAUUCAGAACUGGCUGGUCUAGAUGUCACGAUGAGAGGUGUAUGUGGAAUUUCCUGUGUACGCGGUGAAAUGGGUAGAUAUAGGAAGGAACAUCAGUGGCGAAAGGCAGUACUGACCUGGCUCGUCUACUGAACGCUG
rnacentral:rRNA from 1 species